GCUAAUAGGACAUGUUAUAGGUAUUGCCAAAAAGCAAACACAUUGAACAUGCCACAUACAAUAACCACGUAUUUUCUGGAAUGUUAAACUCAACAGAAGAUGCAGUAAUCAACAGUGUCUAAGACAGCAAAUAAUAGUAAACAGUAUACUGUUAACAGGAUCAAUUUGCGAACCCCGGGAAAGAAGGGGAUUAUUGCAAAAAUUGGCCUGGACACUGUUUCCGGCUGCUUUGCUAAUCCGUGCAAAUACAGGGAUUUGAGUGCAAAAUAGCGAAGGAUAAGGUUCCUUAUCCACCAUCUACUUUCUCUCCCGAGCGGUUCCUCAUGGGAUUAACCGCCGCCGGCCUUGCUGUCCCCGCGAGGGCUUCCUCGCCGGUGGAGAGGACCGCCGCCGCGUGCCGUUGGUGGCCUCGGGUGCUACCACGCCACGCGAGGUCUGUGGUCUAGGGCACGGCCGCCACGCCUAUGUGACAGUUCCGCCGGGAGGCGUCGCCGCGGAAACGGCCGAGGCGCGGGUGGCCAUAGGCUUACAUCGCUGCUCUGCCGGAGGUCUCUGCGCCGCAGGACUUGCUGUGUUGCCGCCGCUGCCACCGCGCGCAGACACGCCGGAGAGCGACGCUGUUGCGUCAUCGGCCGACAGUAGUAUGCCGCCACCCGCGCGCCUAGGCGGCCACGCCUCCGAGGAGCCCGGCCGGGAGCCAUGGCCAUAGGCACCACCGUCCUGGGAGCAGCGUCGAGGCCGCGCCGCUGGUCGGUAGCACCGCCCUCGCGGUGAGCGCCUCCGUCUCACGCCGAGAAAGAAGUCCAUGGCUGCACCAUGGGCGUCGCCACUGUUGCGGGCUGGGCACCGCUGUCACGACCUCCAGCCAGAGCCUCUGCGCGAUGGAGACCUGGCCGGGAGGGAUGUGUUGUGCCACAACCAAGAAGAUGUUGCUGUUCUUCUGGCUGUUGCUUGCCUGAAGACAAAUGCCAAAGGCCAAUCAAUCGAGACGAAGUAGUGCCCAUCGUCGGCGCCGCUGCUGGGAGAUCGGGACCGUUUCGCCGGCCGAAGGCGGGCACCGCCGCGCUAUGCCGAGACCCGAGAGUCACGGCCGAUGGCUGGGAGCGCGCGUGUCCCCUUGCGCUGUUCAGCGCCGGGUCCGGGCUCACCACGCCGCCGCUUGGGGCCGGUCUGAAGUUCGGCAGUUCGUCGGGGCUGCCUCCGCCUUGUCCUAUUGCUCUCUGUAAGAGCGUGCUGAUAACGUGUUGAAAACGAGAGACAAUCGAUAGUAAUGAAUGUUAUCCUUUCAUUAGAUGAUCCAAGUAUUUAUACAGAUGGAACAGACGUGAUCGAUCA